rnacentral:lncRNA from 1 species
UGUGCAACUAAUCAAUCACCUAUCUACUAGGAGUAAUAAUCAAGGUCAGUACGUCUAUCUUUGUUUCUUUCUUGCUUUCUUCUUCUCCUCCUUCUGCUUCUUUUUUAAAGUUUCACUUAAACUUAUUCGGAUUAGCUAUAACCUUUUAUAAAGAGAAUAAUUGGCUUAUAAUAUCAACACAUGUUGCUUCCUCACACAUGUUGCUUCCUGUUUAUCUUAGUUUUCUGUACAAAGCCAUCUAUUGAUUGGCAAAAACAACAUCUAUUGUGUGGCUGGCUGGUUUUUGCAUCUUUGGAACUUAAAUCAAUUAAUUAGUAAACUACGUUUCAGUUACAAACUAGUUGGGCUCAACUCCAUACUUCACUGGUGACCAUUUGUUUCAAUUGCUUACCAUUUGCUUUUUUUUCUUUUCUUUCUAAAUCCUCAUAGUAGACUCUCUAGAUUGAAGGCUUCUGUCAACUAGCUAUAGUUGAGCUUCUGUUAACUCUUCUCUCGUUUUCCCUUUGUUACAUUGGUCCCAAGAAAGAUUUAUAAGGGCAUUCUUCAAAAGGAUGCAAAAUUUGCCUUUUUUGUUGCUUAUGUUGUGUUUAACUAGUUUCAAUGUUUGAUAUGAAAAUAACUAACUGAACAGUUUGUUAAGCUGAAGAAAGUCAUCUGGUGAAACACUGUUACUGUGUCUGGAAGGAAGUGAAUAAGAGAAGUAUUAUAUAAGCUUUCGGCAAUGUGGUAAACUAAUGAAUUAGGAAAGAUUAAGAUAAUAUUAUUAGGUAUUAGUGGCUAGUUUUUUAAGUUGUGAAUUCCCAGUUUGGAAUUCUAUUAAAGUUUCUUUUGCAUUUUUUUCAAGAGAGCAAUAGGACUUAUGCUAUAACAUAAACACCAUCAAAAGAUUUGCAUGAUCUUCCUUUUCUGCUUCAGCAGCCCUCUUUAACUUGGCUUCGAUGUGUCACGCAUUUGUACUCUCGAUACGCAGCUUGCCAUAGGCAUUGAAUGAUUUCAUCUCAUCUGUGACCUUGACAAGGUCAACAGUUGGCUGCUCAUAGUAAUAGGCAUGUAUGAACCCUGGACCUGGGUGGCAGUAGCAAGUUCCUAUGCACUAGAAUCACCAGCCUUGACUUUCUUAGCACGCCUUGGGAAGAUGACAAGCUUAGCUUUGUAAGCUUAGUUGUUCCUGCGGCAAUGAUCAAUAGCAAUGCCAAUGGUUGGUGCUAGUUUCUUGGGAAUACCAGCUGCUUUCAGUUCUUCAAGAGAAAAUUCCCUCCCAACCCAGACUUUCAUGUUGUAUUUCAGUGUUUGUCCAUGAACAAUAGGUCGAAGUGAUCCCGCAGUUGGCCUAGGGAAGAUCUUCACAGCUUUCUACUGUCUAGCAGCACGUCUCCUUGUUUUCCUAGCUGGAUGGUUGAACCAAGUCCUUACAUAGUUUUGCCAAUGCUUCUUGAAGUGCCCAUUGGGUAUAACAUUGUUGUGCUUCAUCUCUUACCUGGUUAGCUACUACUUUUGGAGGCUUUGGGAGUACAGAGUCUUUUGCAUUCUUACAUGGAUUUAAAGACAAACAAUUACUUGUUGUCAUCUCUGACUUGUUUUUGAAAAACUUCGUGCUUUAAGAUUUUUACUGGAUAUAAGAUUGUUUCAUCCUAGCGAAAAGAACUGAAGACUUAGAGAUCGACAUUCUAGUACAUUUGAAGACUUUGUGCUUUAUGCAUUGUUUAUGGACCAUACCCAUUCUUAUAAUGAUAAACCAACUCUUGAAGGAUAAUGACUUUAUUUAUCCUCUUUUGUAGGUGGAGCAAUUGAAGAAAGGGAAGAUGGAGAUUGUGAAGAUCUAGACCUUACUUAAGAACUUUGAAUUGGUGUCCAUGUUCUAGAAAUCUUUUGUUAUCAACAUUUGAACUAACUCUUGAAGUGUUGAUGUAAAACUUAUGUGAUUGGGUUAAAAUAUUUUGGUGUUAUGGAGUAAGUGUUGAUGUAAAACUUAUGUGAUUGGGUUAAAUAUUUUGGUUUUAUGGAGAUAAUAUAGAUUAUGAAGUGUUUUAUCUUU